rnacentral:lncRNA from 1 species
CGUAAGUUCAUCCGAACUCCUACUUAGGGUAGAUAUAUUUUUUUUCUUUUUUUUCUUUUUUAAGAAUAGGUAGCGAGCUACCUGCUUCAUUCAUUAAGCAAAAUGAACUAGGCGAAUAUUUUGGAAGCAGCCAGGGCCUCCGUUGAAGGAAAGAGACAAAAGAAACAGAAAGAGAAAGAGAAAGAGGUAGAAAGCGUAACUAAAAGUAAAUGCAGGAAGAAAGUCAGAGAUGCUCCAUCCAAGCUUUGGCAAGGGAGAUGACUCGGUGAAGGGCCCGAGCGGCAUGGGGGGCUGCCGAGUUGAAGAUAAUAUAUAUAUAUAUUUUCGCGAAUUUGGACUUCAGUUGAAGUGCAUUUUGAGUUUUUUGAGUUUAAUUGGAGUUCAAAUGAAAAUGGUACUGUUUGUUUUUAGGACAGUAAAAGUAAAAUUCUUUUAGUUCUGCCCUUCGUUUGGUAGUUGUAAAAUAAAAUUAUUACAUGGCCUCUUAUACAACUUGAUAAAUAAAUAAAUUAUAACAUUAUAAAUAAAAAUAUAAUAUAAUUAUAUAAUUAUACAAAUAAUAAAUUAUAAAAAAAUGAUGUAAAUAAUAAAUUAUAAUAUAAUAAAAAAGUUAAAAAUAAUAGAAUUAUAAAAGUUAUAAAUUAUAAUGUAAAGUCGAGUGGAAAUUAAAACAAAGUGGGUUCUG